CCUACGGGUGGCUGCAGUGGGGGAUAUUGGACAAUGGUGGUAACCCUGAUCCAGCGAAGCCGCGUGAGUGAAGAAGUAUUUCGGUAUUUAAAGCUCUUUCAGCAGGGAAGAAAGAAGUGACGGUACCUGACCAAGAAGCCCCGACUAAAUACGUGCCACCGGCCGCGGCAAUACGUAGGGGGCAGGCAUUAUCCGGAAUUACGGGGUGUAAAGGGAGCGUAGGCUGUUAAGUAAGUCUGGAGUGAAAGGCCGGGGCCCAACCCCGGGACUGCUCUUGAAACUAUUGAACUUGAGUGCAGGGGAGGUAAGCGGAAUUCGUGGUGUAGCGGUGAAAUGCGUAGAUAUUAGGAGGAACACCAGUGGCGAAGGCGGCUUACGGGAGUGUAACUGACGUUGAGGCUCGAAGGCGUGGGGAGCGAACAGGAUUAGAUACCCUUGUAGUC
rnacentral:rRNA from 1 species